rnacentral:tRNA from 1 species
GGUGAGAUGGCUCAGUGGGUAAGAGCACCCGACUGCUCUUCUGAAGGUCCAGAGUUCAAUUCCCAGCAACCA